rnacentral:rRNA from 1 species
GUCGAUAGCCAUGCUACCCUGAACAAGCCCGAUCUCAUCUGAUCUCGGAAGCUAAGCAGGGUGGGACCUGGCUAGUACUUGGAUGGGAGACCACCAGGAGUUGUAGGAA